UUGGCCUUGAAGGGUGUUAUUUCGAAAUUAUUGAAAUAACAGCCCAUCGUCGUUCUAUCGAGGUCGAACCUUUAUUUUUUAAUGGCGAAGGACCUUGGCCUUGAAGGGUGUUAUUUCAAAAUUAUCGAAUUAAUAGCCCAUCGUCGUUCGAUCAAGGUCGAAACCUUUCUUUUUGAUGGCGAAGGUCCUUGGCCUUGAAGGGUGUUAUUUCGAACUUAUCGAAAUAACAGCCCGUCGUCGUUUGAUCGAGGUCGAACCUUUAUUUUUGGAUGGUGAAGGCCCUUGGCCAUGAAGGGUGUUAUUUCGAACUUAUCGAAUUAACAGCCCGUCGUCGUUCGAUCAAGGUCGAACCUUUCUUUUUUUAUAGCGAAGGCCCUCGGCCUUGAAGGGUGUUAUUUUGAACUUAUCGAAAUAACAGCUCGUCAUUGUUCGAUCGAGGUUGAACCUUUAUUUUUUGAUUGCGAAGGCCCUUGGCCUUGGGUGUU
rnacentral:lncRNA from 1 species